UUAACCACGUUUUUAUUACAUGUGUUCAUUUUUUUCUCAGAACCAAACUCUUUUCGAAAUUAAUACAAAAAUGACCAUCAUUAACACGAUUUUAAAUAAGAUCCAUUUUGUUUACGUAAGUUCGUACAUCUGCCUUUCUGCUGUCGGGAUGUCUGCUCUGUGCUGCAACGUCAGAAAUCACGUAGAUGAAAAGCGUGAAAAAAAGAAGCAGAUGGCAAGGUUGCAAGAUCAGAUUCAGUUUGAAAGAUUAUUGGAACAUUGGAAGAAACAAGCAGCAGAUUAUUGAAUCGCGAUUUCAAACAAACAUAUUCCUCUUUUUUUGUAAAAUUAAAAUCAAAUAAACUUCGAA